rnacentral:lncRNA from 1 species
AGAGCACCAAAUAUACUCCAAUAAGAAAGAAUUGCAGAAGAAGUUGUGCAUGAUUGCUUUGAAAAGAAAGCUUCAGUUCAAAACAUUAAAAUUUUCAACCAAGUUAUUACAUGUUGGAUGUGUUGAUAAAGAAUGCAUGUGAUGACUUCGCAAUCAAGUUGGGAAAUUCUGAUCUAUUUCAAAUAAGGAAAUAUCAUUUAACACACACUUGUAGCUUGGAUAUGAUAUCCCGUGAUCAUCGUCAUGUAAGUAGUUAGUUGAUUGGUCAUAAGAGAAAUAUAUUGAGGGGUUGUGGUUGAUGUGGUGAUUAUGUUCAUAAUCGAAAGUUGUGUAAAUGAUCAAUCCCCCUGCAUUAUCAGGAUGAUAAUAGUAGACACAUUAAAAUAGGAAUGCCAGAUUGCUCCUUACAAUUAGAGAAUGAAUGAAAUUAUCACUAAGCCAAUUUUAUGGCAAAUUUUUUGUAGAGGGUGAUUGGGCAUAUAAAAGUGUGGAGCCGCAUUUUUCACGUGCGCUCCCACUCGAUCUGCGAGACUCACUUUUUAUUUGUGAAAAAUUAGUUUUGGAAAAUUCGGAAUCACCACUUAUUUUAUUUUAUUUUAAAGGGAAAAUAAAACCCUAAAAAAUGACUCCAUAAUUUUUGGAAAAAACAUGUCUUUGAAAAACCCGAGUCUGAUUCCAGGGAUCAGGUUACUUAUUGAGAAGGUACCCCUAGGAGGUAGCACCCCUCUAAGCCCUAUAAAGGUCUCUAUUGACUAAGUUAAGGGAAAUGUGGCAAUUAAUUGGUUAAUUAUAAAUACCUAAGUAGGCUAGGUGAUUUCAAAAGAAUGACAUGUCCAACAAGAAAACCAAUCACAAUCAUAUAGGAGAUUUAGGGUGUGUACCUGGACCACUUCUUGAGCGAUAUCAUAAAACAUCAAUGGUUAGUUUAAAUAGUAUAUCACCCAACAUGCACUUUAUCAUAAAUGAUCGAAUAAUGAAACAAAUAUAUCAAAGCACCCAAGAACUAUCAAACAUAGGCAUAGUUCACAAUGAUAAUCAUAUUUACAAUUUAGAAAGUAGAUGAUAGGGGACGUACCUGGAUAGCAUAGAUUACUCAUAAUACGCUUCCACAUGACAUGGGAGGUUAGAUAAUAAAUAAUAAAUAAUAAAAUAAGAAAUCCUAACAUGCUUAGUAUCUAAUUAGCAUAGCAAAAAUGAUCAGAAUAUAUGAAAUAAUCAAUUAUCACACACAUCUUGUAUACAAUUCCUAAAAAAAUAGAUAGAUAUGAUUACAACAAAUAACAAGGGUGGUAGCAAAAAUAAGUUUUGAAAAGAUUUUCUUAUGUAGGGGUUUCACCAAUUCCCCAAUUAAUUUACACGAAUUUAGCCCAAAAUUAUCCCAUUAUUUAGGAUCACAAGCUUUGAUUCGUGUUUUUGUUCAAAACCAAAUUUUUUGUUGAAAACCAAGAAGGAUGCAAACCGAUCAAGAUAUAGUUGCAUAUUAUUUUUUAAAAAAGUGAUUUUGAUUUUUUUUAAAGGGAUCUUUUGAGAAAAAAUUGUUUUGUUUUAAAAUAAAAGAAAUUAAUUUUUAAAAUAACAAAACAUAGAAAACAAAAGAAAACAAAAAUCACAAAAUAAAGAUUUAGAAAAUCAUGUCAAUUAAAGUGGUGAGAGUAAGACUAACCUUCAUGGGUUUCCAGUGGCCUUCAAAAAAAAGAAUUUGACCAACAAUCACUAAAGCAACAGACUAAUGACUUCCUAAUCAAACAAACUAACGAAAAUAUCAUCCAAGACUAACAUUUACAUUUCAAGAAAUGCAUGAAUUAAGAAAAAAAACAACCAAUCAAAGAUUAAAGUCAACAAACAUAGCAUAUGGAGAUGAUAAUAUGGGAUCAAUUAAGAUAAAUUAGCAUUCUAACAAAAUAUGAUAAAUCAAACACCAAAGUUCAACAAUCUUGAAAAUAUGAAAACAAUAACAUGUAGAUAAUAGAUUGAUUAUCUAAAAUUCCUAAAAACUCAAACUAAAUAUCAAUAGAUCAAAACCAAAAUAUGUCAUACUCAAAAUAUGAAAAAUAAUAACAUGUGAUUGACUAAAUUAAUUGACCAAAAUUUUAAAAACACUAAAACUAAAUAUUGAUGGAUCUAAAUUGAAAUUACCAUACUUAGAAUAUGAAAAUAAUAACACAUGAUUAACUAAAUUAAUUAACUAAAAUUAUAAUCAACUACAAAAUUGGAUAUAAAUGGAUCAAAAUCAAGAUUAAUGAAAUCAGAAACGCAUGAACACAUUCAAACUAAGAAAUAAUAUACUAGGUUAAAUUAGAAUUAAAAACAUCAACAUCAUCUAAUAAGAUUGGCUAAACUAUCAAAUUGAAAUUGCAAAUAUAUUUAAACUAAAAUAAAUAAAUAAAUCAACAAGUUAAAACUAAACUAAAAUUGGAAUUAAAAAUAUGGAAUUCAUCCAAGGGGAUUAAUCAAAUAAUUGAAUUAAAAUCAUAAAACGCAUUCAAAUUACAAAAUAUUAAAAUUAAACUAGAUUGAAAUUAAAUUCUAUCUAAUAAAAUUAUUUAAACUGAUGAAUUAAAAUCAACAAAUACAUUUAAGCUAAAAACAGAUUAAAACCAAACUAACUAGAAUUAAAUAAAACACAAACUUUAUUUGGCACAAUUAUUUGAACUAAAGAGUUAAGAUCAACAAAUACAUUUAAACUAAAAACAGAUUAAAAUCAAACUAACUAGAAUUAAAAAACAUAAACUUUAUUUGACAUGAUUAUUUGAACUAAUAAAUUAAGAUCGCUAGAUGCAUUUAAACUAAAAACAAAUUAAGACCAAACUAACAAGAAUAAAAAAAAUGAAAAACUUUAUUUGUCACAAUUAUUUGAACUAAAAAAAUAAGAUCAACAAAUGCAUUUACUAAAAACGAAUUAAAAUCAAACUAAUAGGAAUUAAAAACGCAAACUUUAUUUAAUAAAAUUAUUUAAACUAAGGAAUUAAGAUCAACGAAUGCAUUUAAACUAAAAACGAAUUAAGAUUAAACUAAUUAGAAUUAAAAACACAAACUUUAUUUAAUAAAAUUAUUUAAACUAAUGCAUUAAAAUCACUAACACAUUCAAAUUAAAACAUAAACUAAAACUAAACUAAUCCGGAAUUAAAAAUAUAAACUUUAUUUCACAAGAUUAUUUAAACUGAAGAAUUAAGAUCACUGACACAUUCAAACUAAAAAUAAACUAGAACUAAACUAAUCCGGAAUUAAAAAUAUAAACUUUAUCUCACAAGAUUAUUUAAACUAAGGAAUUAAGAUUAACAAGUGCAUUUAAACUAAAUGUAAACUAAAAUUAAACUAAUUAGAAUUAAAGAUGCAAACUUUAUUUGACAUGAUCAAUAAAACUAAUAGAUUAAAAUCACUAACAAACUUAAACUAAAAGGUAGAUUGGAAUUAAACUAAUUGGGGAUUUAAAAAGAAAAUAAUAUAAACUUUAACACAAAGAAUUAAUCAAAAACUGAAAUUUCAAAAAAAAUCUAGGCUAAAUAAAAAUACUAUAUAGAAAGAAAGCUAACCUGUGAAGUGAAAGAGAAAAUCCUCUCUUGGUGAUUAAAGUGGCAGCCCGAUCUCCAUCCGAAGUCCCUUGCUCU